UGGGGAAUAUUGGACAAUGGGCGCAAGCCUGAUCCAGCCAUGCCGCGUGGAUGAUGAAGGCCUUAGGGUUGUAAAGUCCUUUCGGCGGGGAAGAUAAUGACGGUACCCGCAGAAGAAGCCCCGGCUAACUUCGUGCCAGCAGCCGCGGUAAUACGAAGGGGGCUAGCGUUGCUCGGAAUCACUGGGCGUAAAGCGCACGUAGGCGGACUCUUAAGUCGGUGGUGAAAUCCUGGAGCUCAACUCCAGAACUGCCUUCGAUACUGGGAGUCUUGAGUCCGGAAGAGGUGAGUGGAAUUCCGAGUGUAGAGGUGAAAUUCGUAGAUAUUCGGAGGAACACCAGUGGCGAAGGCGGCUCACUGGUCCGGUACUGACGCUGAGGUGCGAAAGCGUGGGGAGCAAAC
rnacentral:rRNA from 1 species